CAGUUUACUUUACCGCAAGAAAAGUUCAAAGAACUGCCACAAUUUCGCAAUCUAUCCGUCGCUAAACCAUGACCCAUUUACCAUAAAUGACGCCACCGUUGCGUUCGCUGCCGCAGUUCUUUCACACCUCUUUACCAUUUAAAUCGUCCACUCGAUCUCAAGAGUCUCUCACGUGAAACAUGCGAGCAUCAAUAGAAUAUAAAGUCAUUUUCCACUGGCGAAGAAUAUUUCCUCGGAUUGAUUCGUCGUGAUACAGAAAAGUUCGUUUGAAAAAAGAUGCCUGUAUACAAAUACGAAGGAUGAAAGAGUCGUGUAGGGGACUAGAAAGAGGUGGAGAGAAUCGCGGUGUCUGGCCACUCUAUAAUUUGUCGGGGUGAGUUACCGCCCUUGUCUUUGCUUAGCGCUGGGCGUUCGUUCCGUUUGGUUCUCUUUCUCUUCUGGUGAUGCUAUCGGCGCAUACCUCGCUAGACAGGUGGCCACCCCGUGACACCCACACAACCGCUACACGCACGCAACCGACGUGCACCGGGCACACGCACCACUGCCGGUCUCCUGUCUCGUGAAUCGUGCCGCGUCGCGUGCGUGCGUGAAUGCGUGUAAAACGGCCUAUCCUCUCCUUUUCGUAUACGCCUGUCCUCGUCUUGCCCAAAAGUUAUCACACGUCGGUCCGCCUGUUACACACCCACGUAUCCGCAACGGGGAUAAUGCUAAUUUCGAUGGAUUAGAAGGACGCGCCCCGGGGAUCUCGAUAACAGGCCCGCCGGCAAAUUAUGCGAAGAGACGCCAUGGGAAAUCGUGAUCGUUGUUGCACUCUCAGUGUCGUCGAUCUUCCUUUUCAGUAAAUUAUAGCAUAAGCCACUUUCGAAUCGAUACACUGAUGAUCAAUCGGAUUUUAAUGAACUUUAAUUACGAAUAUAAUAAAUUAUAAUAAAUAUGAUGAUCAGUCAAAUUGAUCAUAAGACUAUUUCAUGAUAUCCAUCGAUUGAAGGAACUGAUCAUUUAAACGUCCAAUUUCCAUUUUUUUGCCUCUACACGAUUUCUUUAACUAAUUUCAGGUGUCUUUAUUCCCAUAGCUGGUCCAGAGGAAAACGAAUGCAUAUCUCUGUUAAAGAAGCAGAAGCAGUUGGGGGUUGGGCAUUGAAAAAUCGACAACAGAAGUGACGAGCUCGAGCGGUUUCUCGCUGGUCAGGUGUUCCCCGUUGCCGGUAUUGUUUUUUCGUAGGUGACGAGGGAAGAGGAGGGGGGGUGGUGAGAAAGGGUCAGGUAAGACAGCGGGGCACCACGCGGCGUCCGUGUCAGUGGGGGGCCUCGAAGAAGGGCCCGAUGCCCGCCCACAUCGCGACUAACAGCGGCGCCCUAUCCGAUCCUAAAAUCCCCGAUCUUUCGGCCGCGAUAAACCCGCGGACCGGAUAUUUAUUAUUUGUAAUUUACGUCGUGAGACCCGGCUCGUUAAGCCUCGGAGGCUAGAAUACGACGGGCGAGUACCGAUCCGUAUCUCCAACGGGAAUGAUCUGUCUCUGGAUUCCUCUCGUUAUCGGUCACAGAACGGCACGAAAGCGUACGCCACUUUUCUUCCGGUUGACGCCGAGCGGUCAAAACAGUUGUAAACAGACCGGUCCCAAUCGGGGAGCGAAAUUUUGAUCUUCGUCCGAGGACGCGGCGAACACGUCGCUCGUUCGAAGAUCGAUGGAUCAACAGGGACCUCGAGUGGAUCUUCGUCGAUUCAUCGUCCGGCGAAGACAUAAUUUGGCGGAUUGUUUUAUUCACGGUUAUUAAAACGGGGACAGGGGAAAGGAGAGCACCCCGACAGGAUCGUCGAACCUGGGAACAAAAGGGGCAGAAAGAAGAGAAACUGAGCAAAAAGAGGGGUACGGGGGAGGGAGUGAGCCGAGAGUACCGAGACAAAAAACCAGGGACGAGGAGGGAACCGUGAUGGAGGUGAAGAAGUUUGCCGAAGAGAAGCGUAAGGAGAAGUUGGAGAGCGAAAAAGAGAGAGGCGCACACCGAGUAAUUUAACACCGGAAGCGUCUUGAGCGUGACGCCACCCUGAAGGUGCAGGAUACGCGUCGAGGAUAGGUAGGCUGAAGGUGGGGCGAAGAAGGUGGAGGCGAUGGCGAUGGUGCAGCCAGUCAGUGGGAGUCGGUAGGUACUCGAGGCCGCCAUGCGAGCCGAGGGAACUUCGUGUGCCUCGUCCCGUCUCGUUCCUACCUCGACCAGCCUCUUCUCCCUUCGUCCUCUUUUCAUUUCACCGUCCGCCUCUCCCGGUGUCUCUCGGUGCACCACACCGACUGGAACCAAGCUUUCUUCUGCUUUCCUCACCCUUAUCGAGUCUGCGACCGUUUCUCUCCCACCGUCCAGAGGCUGGGUCACAUUGUUCUCUCUCUCUCUCUUUCUAUGAAAUUACACGUACGUGAGUGAAAACGCGUAACAGUACUUAAAGCCAUUCAGAUCGUCUCGGAAUUAGGAGAUUAGACCGUCCGGUUGGCAAACGUGGUCUGACCCGUCUCGCUUCGUUCUCCUUCGCGUCUGACUCGUUGCCGUCUUAUUUUCCUUACAGCGAUACCAUUCCUCAUUCUCCUAAUUAUCACGUAAUUCACAGUCUUAUUACCGAUAGCUUAUAUUACGAAUAUCAUUUGUAUCGUAAUUGGACGUGUUCAAAGAAUUGAUAACGGGAGUAGUGACGACGUCUCGCAACUUGUCAGCGAGCACCUGUCGCGCAUUAGGUCCAGUUCUAAGCCUGUCUAAAGCCAACCGAGAGGAACGGUGCGGUGAGAGGUGAUCGUUAAAAUUCAUAGGAGAGAAGGUCCGGCGAGAGCCGAGACUGGCCCGUUUGCGGGACACCCCGACGGAGAAAAAUGUGUCGAUACAGUUCCCGACGACGGUAGGUACGUACUUACAUCCCGGCCGUAUACGCGCUCCGCAGUACGUAAGAUCGGCCACACACACGCGGAGACGCGCGCACGUUGGAGAAAGGACGCUCGCGAGUAGACGACCAGGAUGAAAAAUGGCGAGAAAAAUGUUGCGCGAGAGAGGAAGAAUCGAGUCUCCGGUGGAAGACUACGCGGGAAAAAGUGUCACAUGCAACCAGCGUGCUUAACCGUGAUCGACGACGCAGGAGAGUAUUUUUUAAAAGAUCAUGAAUAUUAUGAAUUAUAAUAUCUCUCGCGCAUCGUAAAAACUUGACUUCUGCGAUACGUCGGCGCUGUUACACGUGGUAAUAAAAAUAAUUGCAGUCGAAUUAAUUAGUUCCGGUGCAGUCGGUGGCAUCGUUAGGGGAUAUGCAGAGAAAACCGAAGGGGUGGCUUUCGAUCAUGGUAUUUCCCGUUACAGACACCCCUCGACGUCGGUAUCGAUUAUACACCCUUUGCCGACAAACGGGGUGUACGAAACGUAACUGGCUCGUCGAAGUACCGUUUUAAUUAUCCACUAUAGUACGUAAUUACAAACGGCUGCAUCGGUCUGCGAAUCAAAAUUGCACCAACAUUUACUUUCAUAUCUGUUCCGUUUUUUCUUUCAUUCGUUCCGCGAGUUCGUCUGCGAUGAAACGGUAUUGCGAAUGCCUUCAAGUUUUUCAUCUUCCCUCGCUUUUAAUUAAAUUUCAACUACUAACUGGAAAUGAUUAUCUUGAGUUAUUCUGAUACCCGGUAAAGCAUGUUAAUAAUUGUGCGAUUAUUAUAAUCGUUUCCGUUUAAACAGAAUCAUAUACUGUCUCAAUCGUGUGGUUGUACAAUUACGAUGAAUGUUCUGUAUCUUUAUAGAUAACCGGUCCAUCAAUUUUCUAUUUGAGAAUCGAGGGUUUCGCAGCGGAGGGCGAGGGAGGAGAAAAAGCGGGACGUGUGCGAAACUAAGGUGACAGGACGGAUGGUAGGCGUACGUAAGGACAGACGUACGGACGGCCGAUGUCGAUGGUGGCAAACUCGCGGAGGCACGGAGGAAGAUGAGGUCGGAGGUAACCCGACACCUGGCCGCACCGAAGGUCAGCCGAUAAUCGCGUAACGCCAUUCAUAUCUCGGGUGGUGCAUAUUAAUUCCUGGCCGUCAUAUUUCUCGGGUAUCCGGCUGUUACCCUCAAAGUCGAACGGGCCUGGCCAACGACCGUUCCGUGGUUUCGCCGAUCCUUAUCCGAAGAGGAGGAACCACGAAGAGGAGGCCUUCCUAGACCGGCCACCGUGCACCUAACCCUGCGCCGCAAUUAGAGAUACAGGAUGCACGGUUAUUAUCCGUCGGGCCGCAGCCAUCGCGAACCCGUUGUACAUGCCUAACGAGCUACCGAGCCUUGAUAUAUGUAUGUCCACCAGGGAGAACGCUAUUACACAGUUUCAACGAUUUCCUAUUUUUUGAGUGUCCAAAAAACAUUGUUAAAGAUGGUUCGUACAGUUUCUAAGAUAAUCGGUGAUUCGAGGGAUAAUCAAUGGUUUAACACUAGAUUGCCCAAGGAAGUCAUUUUGACUGCUUUUGGGCAAAUGUACAAA